rnacentral:tRNA from 1 species
ACCUGGGUGGUUCAGUCGGUUGAGCGUCUGACUUUGACUCAGGUCAUGAUCUCACGGUUCGUGGGUUUGAGCCCCACAUCGGGCU